UUUUUUUUUUUUUUUUUUUUUUUUUUUUUUUUUCUC
rnacentral:ribozyme from 1 species